CGCGUGUAUGUGUGAAUGCGCACACGUCUACGUGUGAGAGCGCGGGUCAAUAAGUUAGCGAUCAGGAAUGAGAGAGAACAGGAGCUACCGUAAAGGCUAAUGUAGAAACGCAAGAAAAUGUAUGCGGCGUAUAAUGCUGGGCAUACACUGUGCGAUUUUGGCCCAUUUUGAGCCCAUUUUUCAGUCAGUCAGACCGUUUUGGUGAUCGGCCCGAGUUUCGCCUUCAUCGUGUGUCGUGCAACGUGUAGUAUACAUCGGGUAACGAGAAGCGAUUAACAAACCAGCUCCCGAUCAUCAAUCGUUUGGUCGUAAGAAAAUCAAACCUGUUUGAAAUGAAGUCGGCCGUCAUGAGGGUGUCAACGCAGCCUCCCACACUGAAAUGAAAGUGAAAAGAUGGAGCAGCACGGCAGUGCAGCGUGUGAUCUGGACACAAGCGAUGGAGGCACAACAUGUAGAACUUUGGCAAGCUCAUCUGAGCCUUUUCGAUGUGGCCUCACAAAAUUAUCACGACACAACAACCGUGAAAAUAGUUGGAUUGUCACUGCUGCUCAAUCACAGCUGCCUGGUCAAUGUUUUUCAUUAGCAAUUUAGCAAAGUUGAUGGUGGUGGUGUGCGUGUCAGUUAAAGACGGAGAAGGAGAGCGAGAGACAGAUUUUGUGUUAUAACCUUCAUGUUAGGGAUGCACAGUGUGAGCACUCAGGUCGCAGACCCUGCAUCGUGACCUACGAACUUCUAACCCCUGCGAGUCAAUCGUACAGUUUGAGCAGGAGCUGAAAAACGCGACUGAAAAAAUCGCACAGUGUAUGCCCAGCUUAAGAGGCGGCUGACUUGACCACGGUGUAAAAACUGCCGUCCUUACCGGAAGUCACUGUCUGAGUAAACACCAUAACAGCCGGGAGUUUCUGUUAUAGUAAGUGAAAAGUUAAGUUUCAUAUUCAUUUUCCGGGACAUCAACUGCUGUCUAUGGCGGCAAAAGAGACCAUACUAUCAGGACCAGUGUCAUAAACUAAACCUGAACUGAAUCUGCGUAGUCGUGGGCAAAUAUUUUUCUUCCCUUGUGCUGACCAGAGUUUGUUUAGGAAGGAGAUAUCUAAUUUUGAAAAAUAAAAAAUGGAGAGAAAAAGUCUGCUUCCAGGAUUUCCACUGGAAAAUUAUGAGAAAGACAAAAAGGAAGAAAAAAGAAUUAGCCUGAAGAAAAGAAAGAGAGUCACGGAUGAUGAAGAUGAGAACAACUUGUGGCGUGUAAAAUGUGGAACCAAAAGGGGCAUCCUAGAUGUAGAGAAGUUGAAAAAAGGUGAGGCAUGUAUUGAGUAUAAAGGCUGCUUGUACAGUCCACCUGAGUUUGAGAAGCUUGCAGGAAAAGAGCCAUGUAGAAAAUGGAAGUCAACUAUUUUCUACAAUGAACUACCUCUGCAGUUUUGGUUUGAGGAAGGCUAUCUAACCACUACAGGAUAUAGACCAAAGAAAAAAAAACGAAAAUCAUGCGACUCAACAGAAGAAAGUGAGGAAGAUCAUGUUGACGAUGAAGAUGAGGAUGAAGAACGGGAAGAUGAGCAUAUGGAUGAAGAGGAUGUUGGUGGUGAUGAGUCUAGCAGUGAGGAUGAUGAGGAUGAAGAAAGUGAUAAUGAUGAAGACGAGACUGCGCCUGCUGUUGCCUCUAACCAUACUGACAGCAGUGAUAUCAAAGAGAGAGUAACAGCUACAAUUCCAACACCUGGAAAACAUGCAUUACAGAUGAAAGAAGUAAAGGGUAUCAUUAACAUCCUUCCUGAGAAGACUAGACAUCAUCCUGACAUGCCAAGAUCUGAAGUCACUGAAAAUCCCAGAGAUGUGGCAAAAAACACAGCAAUCAAACAGCAAAAUGUUAACAAAGAACCUGAAAAGAAACGGAAGAAGACAACAAGCAGCACAAUUUCGACACCUGUGAAACCUGCACUAAAGAUCAAAGAAGAAAAGGGUGUCGUUAAUAGCCUUCCUGAGAGAGCAAGAGAUCAUCCUGACAUGACAAGAUCUGAGGUCACUGAAAAUCCCAGAGAUGUGGCAAAAAACACACCAAUCAAACAGCAAAAUGUUAAGAAACAACCUGAAGAGGAACUGCAAGAACGCAAGGAAGAUCAUGUUGAACAUGAAGAUGAGGAUGAAGAACAGGAAGAUGAGCAUAUAGAUGAAGAUGAUGUUGGUGAAGAUGAGCCUAGAGCUGAGAGAGAUGAGGAUGAAGAAGGUGAUAUUGAUGAAGUCGAGACUGCGCCUGCUGUUGCCUCUAACCAUACUGACAGCAGUGAUAUCAAAGAGAGAGUAACAGAUACAAUUCCAACACCUGGAAAACAUGCAUUAGAGAUGAAAGAAGUAAAGGGUAUCAUUAACAUCCUUCCUGAGAAAGCUAUAGAUCAUCCUGGCAUGCCAAGAUCUGAAUUCUCUGGAAAUAACAGAGAUGUUGCAACAAACACAGCAAUCAAACAGCUGAAUGUCAAGAAAGAACCUGAAGAGGAACUGAAAGAACGCAAGGAAGAUCAUGUUGAACAUGAAGAUGAGGAUGAGGAACAGGAAGAUGAGCAUAUAGAUGAAGAUGAUGUUGGUGAAGAUGAGCCUAGAGCUGAGAAAGAUAAGGAUGAAGAAGGUGAUAUUGAUGAAGUCGAGACUGCGCCUGCUGUUGCCUCUAACCAUACUGACAGCAGUGAUAUCAAAGAGAGAGUAACAGCUACAAUUCCAACACCUGGAAAACAUGCAUUAGAGAUGAAAGAAGUAAAGGGUAUCAUUAACAUCCUUCCUGAGAAGACUAGACAUCAUCCUGACAUGCCAAGAUCUGAAGUCAGUGGAAAUAACAAAGAUGUGGCAAAAAACACAGCAAUCAAACAGCAAAAUGUUAAACAACCUGAAGAGGAACUGAAGAAGACAACAAGCAGCACAAUUUCAACACCUGUGAAACCUGCACUAAAGAUCAAAGAAGAAAAGGGUGUCGUUAAUAGCCUUCCUGAGAGAGCAAGAGAUCAUCCUGACAUGACAAGAUCUGAGGUCACUGAAAAUCCCAGAGAUGUGGCAAAAAACACACCAAUCAAACAGCAAAAUGUUAAGAAACAACCUGAAGAGGAACUGCAAGAACGCAAGGAAGAUCAUGUUGAACAUGAAGAUGAGGAUGAGGAACAGGAAGAUGAGCAUAUAGAUGAAGAUGAUGUUGGUGAAGAUGAGCCUAGAGCUGAGAAAGAUGAGGAUGAAGAAGGUGAUAAUGAUGAAGACAAGAGUGUGCCUUCUGUUGCCUCUAACCAUACUGACAGCAGUGAUAUCAAAGAGAGAGUAACAGCUACAAUUCCAACACCUGGACAACAUGCAUUAGAGAUGAAAGAAGUAAAGGGUAUCAUUAACAUCCUUCCUGAGAAGACUAGACAUCAUCCUGACAUGCCAAGAUCUGAAGUCAGUGGAAAUAACAAAGAUGUGGCAAAAAACACAGCAAUCAAACAGCAAAAUGUUAAACAACCUGAAAAGAAACGGAAGAAGACAACAAGCAGCACAAUUUCAACACCUGUGAAACCUGCACUAAAGAUCAAAGAAGUAAAGGGUGUCGUUAAUAGCCUUCCUGAGAAAGCUGGAGAUCAUCCUGACAUGACAAGAUCUGAGGUCACUGAAAAUCCCAGAGAUGUGGCAAAAAACACAGCAAUCAAACAGCAAAAUGUUAAGAAACAACCUGAAGAGAAACUGCGUCCUUCCUGUGAAGCUCUGCCCGUGUCAGAUGAGUGUGAACAUAAAGAUGUCCCCUGCUCUGGCCACAGUGUAGCUGAAGUACAAUCCAUGAUGCCAGAGAUGAGUGUGGACAUGUCAGAGGCCCGGUUGCCUGGGCCCUCAGCCAGCUCUGGCUUGAAUACAAUGGAUCUUGAUCAACUGAAGAGGAAAAAAAUAAAAAUGCAACUGAAGGUUUUAAAAUUACAAGAAGAGUAUUACACUUUGAAAAUAAAAGAACUGAAAAAAUGAGGAUUAAUGUAAAGCUGACAUUGCAGACAAUAAAUUAAAAGAUCGCUGUUUACAUCCACAAACUGACACACGUUAUCUGGAGGUUUCUUGGGUGGAAUGUUACUUUUGACAAAAGCUACAAAAUCAAGUGUGCUGCAUUUAUACACCGUACUUUGUCGUUGCUGUACUCAGGUUUCCUUUAGUAUUGUUGAUUACCAUGUUUUACUUUGUUAUUAGAAUUAAACAAAUAGCUGAUAUUUCCUUCCUGUAAAAUGUGAAUAAACAAUAUUGAUGCUUUUUAUCUGUAAAUUUUGCAAGUGUUAUGAAACUGUGUUUCCUUUGGACUUUGCCCAACCUGUAGUAAUAGUUGUAAGAAGUAGCCUUUAAACAGCAUCGUGCAAUGUCUUGAGCCACAGCUCAUUUCUUUAUGUUUUGCUUCCAAGGAGCAAGAACUUUUAGAAAUUUGCAAGAAAAUAACAAUAUGUGCUCUUUUACUUUGAAGCAUUGUUAGUAAUACAUCAAUCAUAUCUGUGACAGAUGAGCAUAACUGUUUAAAUUCCAAAGAAAUUAGACCCCCCCAAAAAAUUCAUGUAAAUUUGUCCAACCAUAAUGAGAAAAUAUGAAAUGAAUAAAGGAGAGUUACAGUGAUGUGCAAAAGUCUUGAGCCAGGACACGUCAUGCAGAGAUAUGUUAAGUGUCCAGCUAAUAGAUCUUUGGGCAUCAGUUGGUUCCACA
ensembl:lncRNA